rnacentral:rRNA from 1 species
CCUACGGGAGGCAGCAGUGAGGAAUAUUGGUCAAUGGGCGCGAGCCUGAACCAGCCAAGUAGCGUGAAGGAUGAAUGCCCUACGGGUUGUAAACUUCUUUUAUAAAGGAAUAAAGUGCGGCACGUGUGCCUUUUUGUAUGUACCUUAUGAAUAAGGAUCGGCUAACUCCGUGCCAGCAGCCGCGGUAAUACGGAGGAUCCGAGCGUUAUCCGGAUUUAUUGGGUUUAAAGGGAGCGUAGAUGGGUUGUUAAGUCAGUUGUGAAAGUUUGCGGCUCAACCGUAAAAUUGCCAUUGAUACUGGGAGGCUUGAGUACGGUUGAGGUAGGCGGAAUUCGUGGUGUAGCGGUGAAAUGCAUAGAUAUCACGAAGAACUCCGAUUGCGAAGGCAGCUUGCUAAGCUGCGACUGACAUUGAUGCUCGAAAGUGUGGGUAUCGAACAGGAUUAGAUACCCGAGUAGUC